GAUGAACGCUGGCGGCGUGCCUAAUACAUGCAAGUCGAACGAACGGACGAUGAGCUUGCUGCUCUGACGUUAGCGGCGGACGUGUGAGUAACACGUGUAUAACCUACCUAUAAGACUGGUAUAACUUCGGGACACCGGAUCUAAUACCGUAUGAUAUUUUGAACCGCAUGGUUGAAUAGAGAAAGACGGUCUUGCUGUCACUUAUAGAUGGAUCCGGGCUGCAUUAUCUAGUUGGUAAGGUAACGGCUUACCAAGGCAACGAUGCAUAGCCGACCUGAGAGGGGGAUAGGCCACACUGGAACGGAGACACGCUCAAGGCGCCUACGGGAGGGCGCAGUAGCGAACGGUCCGCAAAGGGGGAGAGUAUGACGCAGCAACGGCGCGUGAGUGAUGAAGGCCUUCGGAUCGUAAAACUCUGUUAUUAGGGAUGAACAGAUGUCUCAUUAACUGUGGACAGAGUGACGGUAACUAAUCAGAAAGCAACGGCUAACUACGUG
rnacentral:rRNA from 1 species